GUUCUUUCCCCUUAGUUCUUUGGGGACAUUUCAGGGUGUGUGUCUGUGCAGGACAGUCCUUAGGUGGGCUCUGAGAGUAGCCCUUUGCACUCUGAGGCAACCGCCAGACCAUAGUGAGUUGAGGACCAACUUGGGAGCCUGCAGGGCCAGCCUGGCUCUCAGGUAGCCAAGGGCAUUCUCCAUCUGCCCAGGGACAAGGAAGGCCUGGCCAUCGGCCCCUCCCUCAAGAAGCUCUCUGCCCGCUGCCUCUCUGCGUGCAGCGCUGGCCUACAGCGCAUGGCUCAUUCUGACUCCCUCAAUCUUCCCUAUUAACUGAGAUUGCAGGUUCAGAGCACAAACAUCGCCGCCUGUCACUGCCGUAGCACGUCAGCCAUCAGCUGGGAAUGGUCUAGUCUCCUUCAAUCCAUCAUGCAGGGUUUCCAAGACUCUCACUCCAAGACCGCUCAGUGGGCCCUUCCCCCACCCAGGCCCAUGGGAUCCACCCGCAGUUUCUUUCCAGAGAGAAACAGGAAGAACGCCAAAGAACUCUAGAGCCAACCAUCCAUCGCACCUGCAUCAAGUGCCUCAGAGACACUGAGACAGGAUGGGGCUGUCACCUGAUAUCAUAGGAAGAGGUAGCCAGGCU
rnacentral:lncRNA from 1 species